AUUACUUUACUUCCCAAAGCCAUAACUCACUAUAGUGAUGUGAAUUUUUCCAGACAAUAAGUGUGGAUAUUUUAUGUACUCAUGACUGUAUACAAACACUAUGAGUCAGGAAGAAAUAUUUAAUCGGCGCGUGUGAAUAUAAACUGCUCACGCAAAUGAGGCCAACAUGUCCAGCAUUAUCAUGGGAUGCUCUCCUAGCAUCAGCUUAUGGAAACGUAAAACAGGAGUGUCUGUGAGUCCGGAGCUGAUGCAGCGCUACCUGCAGCUGGAGGCGAGCAUCUGGCGCAAG